GUGGGUUUAGCUCAGUUGGCAGAGCAUCAGAUUGUGGUUCUGAGGGUCGUGGGUUCGAGCCCCACAAUCCACCCCA
rnacentral:tRNA from 1 species